AUUGAACGCUGGCGGCAUGCUUUACACAUGCAAGUCGAACGGCAGCACGGGUGCUUGCACCUGGUGGCGAGUGGCGAACGGGUGAGUAAUGCACCGGAACGUAUCCAAUAAUGGGGGAUAACGCACCGAAAGGUGUGCUAAUACCGCAUACGCCCUGAGGGGGAAAGCGGGGGAUCGUAAGACCUCGCGUUAAUGGAGCGGCCGAUGCCGGAUUAGCUAGUUGGUGAGGUAAAGGCUCACCAAGGCGACGAUCCGUAGCUGGUCUGAGAGGACGACCAGCCACACUGGAACUGAGACACGGUCCAGACUCCUACGGGAGGCAGCAGUGGGGAAUUUUGGACAAUGGGCGCAAGCCUGAUCCAGCCAUUCCGCGUGAGUGAAGAAGGCCUC
rnacentral:rRNA from 1 species